ensembl:lncRNA
AAGACACACAAAGGUGAUCGCAGCCGAACAGCCGCACACAGCAACAAGCAGAAAGACACAGGGAGACUCAAAGCCGCAUCCAGACAGGCACGGGGACCACCGCCUCUGGGGAGCGUCGCGAGCCCUCCGGAGAGGCAGCAGCAGCAGCCCGCUGCUGUGAACUGUUGAAUCUAAAUGCAACCUCUGCGAAGCUCCAUUCCUCAAGAAGGGAAAAAAACAAAAAACAAGGAUAGGGCUUGGGGGUGCUCAGUUUCUGUAGGAAAAUAUUUUUUUCAAAAUGCCAGUGUGUGGUGGUGUUCAGGGAUCACAGAGGAGAGGGGUGGAGUAGGCUGCUCUUCAAACAUAGCUCCUCUUCUGGCAGACGCACCACCUAGUCCUGGGAGAGAGGCAGGCACCGGCCCGCUAGGUAACAGUUUCGUGAUUUAUUGGUUGGGGGAAGGGGUAGGAGGGAGGGGAAAAUGAAAACAAAAGAACUUUUUAAAAAAAAAAUAAAAACGAGGACGGGGUUACGGUGACAUGAUUUAUAACGCCAACCCCCGCGAGUCCAUCCAAGAAAUUCCACCGCGAAGACUUGGGUCCUUAAAUCUACCAGCAGAGAGGCAUCCAAAGGUUGGAGAAAGGGGGAGGGAGGAGGGAAGAGCGAUAUUGAGGUUCCUACGUAAACCGCAAUGCCCAAAAUCUCAAAAUAAGAAGUCGAUCCAAGCCGAGAGGGACAAAUGACUUCAAAGCUCCUGCGCUUGGGCUAGAAGUUGAGCAGCAUCCAGAGAGCAGCGAAGCCCGAGUGCCAGCAUCCGCCCGGAGCGCUCGCCACCGCCGCCUCCCAGAUCAGCAUGCAACAGCGAUCCGCGGCUGCGCCGCCGAGAGGGCGGGAGCGCGAGCUGGCGGGCGGCGAGCACCGGCGGGCGAGGAACAGGUUGCAGCCGAGCCUCGAGGCGGCCUGGCAGCACGCUUGUCCACAGACCGAACUUCCUCACUAACGGCGGGGCACACCAUCCUCUGCGUUUUCCUGUCUUGGCUCAACACAUGGUCCUGUCCAAAUCCUCCCAACUCGAGCGAUGGAAGGGAGGAAGGAAAGGAGGGGCUGAGGAAGGAAACAAAGACACUGACCAAAGCCCGGAGGUUGGAAACCAUGGCUUUCUGCCAUGUGAGGACACUGCCAUCAGCUACUCUGGAGGAAGCAGCAUUCAAGGAAGCAAAGACCAUGUCCUCGACAAACAUUGAACCUUCCAGUGCUUUGAUCUUUGACUUCUCAGCCUCUGUAACUGUGAGAAAUAAAUCUGUGCUGUUUAUAAAUUACCCGGUCUAGAGUAUUUUGUUACAGGAGCAAAAAUAGACUAAGACAACCUUACUGCAAGAGAUAAGCUGAAGGAGAAAUUGUAGCCUGAAACUUAUGACUAGAUGAGGAGAAGUUCAAGGGCCCAGAGCAGAAGAGUAGGGAGUCACUCAGGACUUGAUAAGAGCCAAGCAGUAGACACAAAGCCUCCUCCAACCUUUACCUGGGAACGGCAGGCUUUGUGUGAACUACAGAUCCCCCUGUAACCACUUGGCCAUCAAGGCUAUGGAGAACAGAUGGCACAGACAAAAUCAAUCACAGAAGGUCCCCAAAUGUCCUCCCCUUGGUGGUAUGCCUCUCAGGGGAAAAGGUAUUGUUGCCACAGUGCCCUAGGAACCUAUUAGAAACUAAAUCAAGGCCAGAUGUGGCAGCUCACGCCUGUAAUCCCAGCAUUUUGGGGAGCCAAGAUGGGAGGAUCACUUGAAGCCAGGAGUUUGAGAUCAGC